ensembl:lncRNA
AAAAGUUAUAAAUAAUUUUAGCAUGAAGCAUCUUUUGUUUUAUUUCAAGGGUUAGGGUUCAUUUCAAUGAUUUUCUUUUUUCACAAUAUCAGAAUUCCAAACUAUUCGUUUUUUUAAUAUAUAAAUAUAUUUUUAUUUUUUGCAUAAAGCAUAUGUUGAAAAGUUGUAUUUUAAGAAGCAAUCAUUUCAACAAUUUUCUUUUUCACAACACCAUAAUUUUUCACAAUACAUAAUUCCAGAAUAUGCUAUUUAAAUAUAUAUAAUUGCAAUAAUUCUUUUUUUUUUUUUUUUUUUGUAAUACAAGUUUUUUUUAUUAUGAUUUUUAAUUACGCCUUAUAAUUGAGAAUGAUAAACAUACCUUAGUUGAAAAGCAGUUUUCUUCACAGGCAAAACUAAAGGCACAAAAAGGCAACUAUCCACUGUGCUUUGAAUUCAGAUGGCUUGCAGCUCACAGGACGAUUCUCAAACUCUCAGAGUUAAACUUUGGCUGGGAAAAGAGAAAAAAGUAGUGCAUCUAGCAGAAGAGAUACGAGGUCUUUCAUCUCAUUAACCUUGUGAGUCUAUAAGUACCUGGCUGCUCGAGUACGUACUACGUAAAGACAAAAAAAAAAAAAGACAAUAGCAUUGUAUGUUAAUUCCUUGACACCUCGUCCCUGCCGUGUUUAUGUGAAUGAAGAGGAAAAGGGAGGAGGAAAGAAGACCGGCCCUUCACAGCUAUCCCAGCAUCUCAUGGUUUCAGGUUGCACUCAUGGAAGGUGCGGUUCAUCCAAAGCGCUGUACAGGAAUAUGCAGGAGGAAUUAAGCUUUUGGAUUGACAUGCAGUUCUCUAAAGCAAAGCAGUCCUGUUUGUUUUCAUUGAUUUUCCUGAAGCAUUUAGUAGGAAAACAUAUAAGGUACAGUUUGUGUUUGAUUCUUGUCCAAGUUGCCAAUCAGUGCAUUUCCUUUCCCAUAAUCCUACUGGGCAGAGGUGGCGGUUGCUGGGAAGGGACGGCAGUGUCAGAUUGUUUCUUACAGGAACCUGAAGUGUCUCUGGCCGCUCUACAGGACCUCAUUGGGUCUCGCUGUCUCCCAACCUGUUUAUCACCAAGUGCUCCGGCUGCCAGGAAGCAGGUUACAUAAAAAGAAGAACACAAAAGACACAUAGCUGGUGAUACAUAGAAUGUCACUGUGAAAAAAACAUGACCUAACCUAAAAAAAAAAUAAAGGAACCUAUUACACUUCAUUUAAUUUAACUCGACUAAUUCUCUCCGAUUAAAAUUUUGACAACUUAGACUUUAUUUAUCUCAUGAGUAAUUAAAAAUUAACAGUGGCCACAUAGUUGCUUCGAGCUGCAGUGCAUGCUGGGAACUUGAAUAACAUCAGCGUAAAAUUGUUUGUUCAUAAUACUUAAUUAGGAAAGCUGGGACAGUAUUUGGACAAGUUUUGGACAAAUACUUUAGUAUCUAAGUAAGACAAAAAAGUAACAUGUUUGGAGUAUUCUUUUCAGUUCAUAAAAAUACUAAACAAUCUUUGUUUUACCAUCUUUGAACAAACUUUGUUUUAAUAUUUGUUAUAGGCAGGGAUGGGCAGUAUUUCAGAUACAUGUAUUUAAAAUACUUAUUUGAAAUACAAAAUACUUUUUUGUAUUUUAAAGCCUUUGAAAAAAAAAAUUGCAUUUAAGUACAUUUUUCCACACAGUAUUUUGUAUUUGUAUUUUAAAUACAUUUUCAUGUAUUUAUGCCCAUCUCUGGUUAUAGUUUAUUAUUAAUGUUUUUAUUAUUAUUUUUACAGUGUGUCGAUAUCUGAGAAAUGAAAGCUUUAAAUUGUAUUAUUUUAACAAAUGCUUGAAUUGCAAGUUAAAAUCUGUUUUUAACAUAUUAAAAAAAUGCAAAUGCAGAGACCCAAGUUAACCCAAGUUAAAAUAAAAUCAAUAUUUUUUCGUUGUUAUUUUUCUUUCUUUUUUUUAAAAUAAAAAAUUCUAAUCCAUUUAUUUUCUUAAUGUGCUUUUU